rfam:Gossypium raimondii Chr08_contig_1269, whole genome shotgun sequence.
UGCUAAAAAAUUCAUCCAUUUGUGUUGUUAGAAACUAGCAUAACUGAUGAAAUAAUCAGAUAGUGACACAUGACAUACGACGUGUACUAAUUUUUAAUAGUAGAGAUGAAUGAUAUUUUUAACA